rnacentral:rRNA from 1 species
UUGACCUCGGAUCAGGUAGGAAUACCCGCUGAACUUAAGCAUAUCAAUAAGCGGAGGAAAAGAAACCAACAGGGAUUGCCCUAGUAACGGCGAGUGAAGCGGCAACAGCUCAAAUUUGAAAUCUGGCUCUCGGGCCCGAGUUGUAAUUUGUAGAGGAUGCUUUUGGCAAGGUGCCUUCCGAGUUCCCUGGAACGGGACGCCAUAGAGGGUGAGAGCCCCGUCUGGUUGGACACCGAGCCUCUGUAAAGCUCCUUCGACGAGUCGAGUAGUUUGGGAAUGCUGCUCUAAAUGGGAGGUAUAUGUCUUCUAAAGCUAAAUACUGGCCAGAGACCGAUAGCGCACAAGUAGAGUGAUCGAAAGAUGAAAAGCACUUUGAAAAGAGAGUUAAAAAGCACGUGAAAUUGUUGAAAGGGAAGCGCUUAUGACCAGACUUGGGCUUGGUUGAUCAUCCGGCGUUCUCGCCGGUGCACUCUUCCAGUUCAGGCCAGCAUCAGUUUGCCUCGGGGGAUAAAAGUAGCGGGAAUGUGGCUCCUCCGGG